rnacentral:rRNA from 1 species
AGCAGUGGGGAAUAUUGCACAAUGGGCGCAAGCCUGAUGCAGCCAUGCCGCGUGUAUGAAGAAGGCCUUCGGGUUGUAAAGUACUUUCAGUCGUGAGGAAGGUGGUGUUGUUAAUAGCAGCAUCAUUUGACGUUAGCGACAGAAGAAGCACCGGCUAACUCCGUGCCAGCAGCCGCGGUAAUACGGAGGGUGCGAGCGUUAAUCGGAAUUACUGGGCGUAAAGCGCAUGCAGGUGGUGGAUUAAGUCAGAUGUGAAAGCCCGGGGCUCAACCUCGGAACCGCAUUUGAAACUGGUUCACUAGAGUACUGUAGAGGGGGGUAGAAUUUCAGGUGUAGCGGUGAAAUGCGUAGAGAUCUGAAGGAAUACCGGUGGCGAAGGCGGCCCCCUGGACAGAUACUGACACUCAGAUGCGAAAGCGUGGGGAGCAAACAGGAUUAGAUACCCUGGUAGUCCACGCCGUAAACGAUGUCUACUUGGAGGUUGUGGCCUUGAGCCGUGGCUUUCGGAGCUAACGCGUUAAGUAGAC